AGUAAACUCAGUGAUCUCCGCAUCGAAAGAAAGCAUGAACAAGCAGUUUCUGAGCAGAAGCAAAUCAAAGAUGAAAAACCUUGAGAUAUCUGACAAGGAGCAAAAUCCAACUAACAUAGUCGUAUCUGAGAUUGUUAGAAAGAAACAGCCACACAAGGAGAUUGAAGCUAUCAUCAAUGACAAUCGCGUCAUCAUCAGGAUGCACAAGGAAACGAUCAGAGAGGAGUACGAUCCCCCGUGCGAAUGCAUUGGUCAAGUAGUUUCAAAAGAGUCGGCAUUGAGCCAAGGAAAGUGCAAUGACGGCUUUGUAUUCGAUAUGGCUCAUGGAAAUUUGGAACUCUGUCGUACUCCUCGAGAGGAUGCAUCCGUACCAUCGACAAAGAAAACCUGCGAGGAGACGGGAUGUCGUACGGUCACGUUGUAUCCAAACGUAAAAGGCGAUAUCAGGAGUGCUCCUUAUCGUAUAGAAGGCAGGGAAGUUAGAAGGUCAAAGAUGGUAAAACCAAUCGAUCUUGAAGAAAAUCCAAAUAUAUUCUUGUUGAGAAUUAGGAAACACUGUGAUAGUGGCGAUAAAAGGCAGACAAUCAAUCUUGAGUUCCGAGCACCGCGUCCAUGGCUACCAAGGAAGAAGAAGGAUCUUCUUAAACCUGAGACAUUAGAGGAACAUGAAGACGCUGACAUGGAACAUGAUAUUGACAAGGAAAAUGAUAUUGACAAGGAAUAUGAAGGUCAUAUCGACAAGGAACAUAAAGAUAAUGAGGAGCAUAAAGAUAAGAAGGAGCAUAAAGAUGACAUUGACGAAACGAUUGAUGCUCACAAGCAGAAUAACGAACAAAAAAUAUUAAUUUCACAAUAAAAUGCCGAAAUACUUUUAAGUUUGAAGAAAGAAUACAAGAUCUACUAUAUUCUCACGAGAUCACUCUUAAGCUGUCAGCGUGAUGCAGACGUUUAGAUAAAGUAUCUAUAACGGCGAGAGCGCGAAAGAAAAAGAUCUUGAAAAAUUUCCGGAUCGAUUCUCACGACUCGAAGCUUGGAGUCAGGUGCGCGUGUGAAUGGACUUCUGGCUUUCAUUCAUCUCUUCUUGAAGAUUCGAAUAGCCACCCGCCCACCAAGGCCCCCAUUUUUUGACGUCCGACAGUCUCGAAAGAAUAGAAAAGAGGGAGGAACGUAUCGAGUGUCAGACGCGCAACAAUGACGUGGGUAAACAUUCCGAUAUACAGGCCCACCCGCGGCGUCCAUCGCUGCACAAGGGAAGCGAUCUGCGACAUGGACAACAUAACGCGCAGGUAAUGUUUGGAUGCGCGUAAAAGGCGAAAAGAAUGAACGGUGAUGGCGAAAGCGGAAGAAUUUGUAUUCGCUGACAGCGAUUUCCUCGGAGCGACAGCUAUUAGACAGAAUUGAAACGAUUGUAAAUUCAUUGGGAAUGAAUAUAGGACGUAAAUAUUACUCACGAUUGCUGAUUCCAAUAUAAUGCGCGUAAGAAUUGUUAAUAUAAUAGCAAA